rnacentral:rRNA from 1 species
AUACGUAGGGAGCGAGCGUUGUCCGGAAUCAGUUGGGCGCAAAGAGCACGUAGGUGGAUCAAUUAGUCUGCUGUGAAAGUCGAAGGCUCAACCUUCGAAAGCCGGUGGAUACUGUUGAUCUAGAGUACGGAAGAGGCGAGUGGAAUUCCUGGUGUAGCGGUGGAAUGCGCAGAUAUCAGGAGGAACACCAAUAGCGAAGGCAGCUCGCUGGGACGUAACUGACACUGAGGUGCGAAAGCGUGGGGAGC